GUUAAAAGGCGCUUUGCAUCCUUCACUUCUGCUACAGAACAGAGUUCACUUUCAGAUUCUGAUUCAUUUGUUGAGGGUAAUUCUUCUUGGUCGGAAGAGGAAGAUCUUUUAAUUGCUGCUUUGUCCAUCCACCUCAGAAUUCGAUGGCGAGGAGAAAAUUGUACUUCAUGUCUUUCAUUCAUGAAGUAACCAGUAGGCGUGGGAGGAUAAUUUAGGUU
rnacentral:misc_RNA from 1 species